UACGUAGGGGGCAAGCGUUGUCCGGAUUUAUUGGGCGUAAAGCGCUCGCAGGUGGUUCGAUGCGUCGUGCGUGAAAGACCCCGGCUCAACUGGGGAGGGUCGUGCGAUACGGUCGGACUGGAGGCCAGUAGGGGGAUGCGGAAUUCCGGGUGUAGUGGUGGAAUGCGUAGAGAUCCGGAGGAACACCAGCGGCGAAGGCGGCAUCCUGGACUGGUCCUGACACUCAUGACGCGAAAGCG
rnacentral:rRNA from 1 species